GAUGAAGAACGUAGCGAAAUGCGAUAAGUAAUGUGAAUUGCAGAAUUCAGUGAAUCAUCGAAUCUCUGAACGCACCUUGCACUCCUUGGUAUUCCGAGGAGUACGCCUGUUCGAGUGUUAUGAAGCUCUCAAAACGCAAUUGGCUUAAAACCUGAUUGUUGUUUUGGAUUUGAACUUUGCCGUGUUAUAACGGCUGGUUUUAAAAGUAUUAGCUGGUACUAGAACGAAUUGGUUCUACUCAACGUGAUAAUUAUCUGAUCGUUGAGGACAUUCCUUUCACGAGGAAUGGCCAUAGUAAAUUCAAUGGACUGCUUCUAAUCUGGCUUUAAUUCUUUAUUGGAUUAACCACUUUUCAAAUCUGACCUCGAAUCAGGUGGGACUACCCGCUGAACUUAAGCAUAUCAAUAAGCGGAGGA
rnacentral:misc_RNA from 1 species